AGUUCCAUUCUGAUAGACUCUGUGGGUUCCACAACUAUCUUGCCUGCAGCUCUGCAUUUAGGGACACCCAAAUUGGAAGAGGACUUACUGGUCCUUUCAAGGGGGAGACGGAGGCUUUCAAGGAUGCUGUGCUAAGAAGGGUCCCAGCAUUCAGCCUGAGCCCCAGGUUCUGCUCAGAAACACCAACCCACAGCUUUUGCAGGCCUGCAGAGACCAAGACACCUCACCACGCCCUCAAAGAGCCAGAGGUAAGGCAAACAAAUAAAUAAGCUUUUAAUAAGGCAACAGGUGCCCGUUGGCUGUGCGCAGUCCGGGCGGCUGGAUGCCCUGGGCAAGCGCAGACGUGGAGGAGGCCUCUCCCCACUGUAGCUGGGCAGACAGCUUCCAUGCGGGAGGACGCGGGUGGCCCCCGGGUUUGGAACAAACACGUUUAUUGCCGGAAGGGUGAGGCAAGCGGCUCACCAGGCAAAGAGUGGUUUACUGUCCUCCUUGGAAAGCUCACAUAGGCAAUUCAGCAGUAGCAGGGAGUCACCCAGGAACUUGGGCGGCACAAUGUCAAUGACUAGUUUGCGCAGGGCAGCCGGGCUGCUGUGCAGUGGGUUGGCCCGCAAGUCUGGACGCUGCUUCAGGAUGCCAUAGGUAUUGAUGAGAAACUCACUGAACACCGGGUGCACUUCGCGGCUGUAGCCCAGCUUCUCCAGCCGUGCCGUCAGAGUCAGAUAGCGAUGCGUCAGCUCACGCAGCUUCUUCUCAUCCACGGAGCCAUCUAGGGACUUGAUAGAGGUCUGUGGGACACGGAGCAGAGGAAACAAGAAACCAGGUCAGGAAAGCCUCUAACCCUAGUGGAUAUAGGUGGGGAGGUUACAUUUGAACCCAAGAAGAGUCUGGGGUCUGCACGGACUUGCCAGCACCAGGAUGUGCGUACCCCAAGUACCAGGCCUGAGCUGGGGCAACAAAGUGUACCUGCUUGAUCUUCUCAGGAAUGUUGGACACUGUGAAACCGUAGAGGCGAGUCACCCCUGGGAACACAUAGGCCAGGAUACGCCGGUCAAGCUGGAACGCGAUCUCCCCAACGAUUCGGCCAUCCUUCUCAGCACCCGAAAAACUCUGGAUCUCUGGGUAACACAAGUGCCAUCCUGACCAUUUCAAGGCACCAAAGUACCUUCCCCCCACCCCCACCCCCACUGCCAGAGUACAUGAAAAUCUUUAAAAAGCUGAGGUAUUUGGACCUGAAGAGGGGACCAUCCCUCUCUGUUUGCUCUCAGCAUGUUCCCCUGAGACCUGGGCACAUAGCUCCUUCUCUGUCUCUGUCUGAGAAGCCAAAAGUCAUGUGAAACUGUAGAAGACAGUGGGGCCCCUGGGAAAGAGGGUACCCAAGUCUAUCCAGAGAGAGCGGGGCUCUCCCCUGUUGUUCUCAGAUGCUGUUCUGCCACCCCACCAACUCAGCCUUCUCUGAGGACAGCAGGAGACAUCACAGCCUGGAUCUGGAAAGAGCCAGCCUCUUCCAGUCUACAGCAUUGCCACCAAAGACAGGCCAAUGUCUGAAAGGUCAGUAUCAGCCCUAUCUCGCCCAUGUCUGUGGAGAGGAUAGAUGGGCUGACAGAAGAGUCUCUUUUUAUUCUUCUUCUUCGACUUCUCGGGACUACCCUGCACCCCCCUGAAAACUGCUCCCAAAUAACUCCUCUCUAUACAACAGC
rnacentral:lncRNA from 1 species